rnacentral:rRNA from 1 species
GACGAACGCUGGCGGCGUGCUUAACACAUGCAAGUCGAACGGAAAGGCCCUGCUUUUGUGGGGUGCUCGAGUGGCGAACGGGUGAGUAACACGUGAGUAACCUUCCCUUGACUUUUGGUUAACUUCAGGAAACUGGGGCUAAUACCGGAUAGGAGCUCCUGCUGCAUGGUGGGGGUUGGAAAGUUUCGGCGGUUGGGGAUGGACUCGCGGCUUAUCAGCUUGUUGGUGGGGUAGUGGCUUACCAAGGCUUUGACGGGUAGCCGGCCUGGGAGGGUGGCCGGCCACAUAGGGACUGAGAGAGGGACCAGACGCCUACGGGAGGCAGCAGUGGGGAAUAUUGCACAAUGGGCGGAAGCCUGAUGCAGCAACGCCGCGUGCGGGAUGACGGCCUUCGGGUUGUAAACCGCUUUCGCCUGUGACGAAGCGUGAGUGACGGUAAUGGGUAAAGAAGCACCGGCUAACUACGUG